rnacentral:rRNA from 1 species
GAUGGACGCUGGCGGCGUGCUUAACACAUGCAAGUCGAACGGAAAGGCUCCUGCUUGCAGGGGUACUCGAGUGGCGAACGGGUGAGUAACACGUGGGUGAUCUGCCCUGCACUUCGGGAUAAGCCUGGGAAACUGGGUCUAAUACCGGAUAGGACGAUGGUUUGGAUGCCAUUGUGGAAAGUUUUUCGGUGUGGGAUGAGCUCGCGGCCUAUCAGCUUGUUGGUGGGGUAAUGGCCUACCAAGGCGUCGACGGGUAGCCGGCCUGAGAGGGUGUACGGCCACAUUGGGACUGAGAUACGGCCCAGACUCCUACGGGAGGCAGCAGGGGGGAAUAUUGCACAAUGGGCGCAAGCCUGAUGCAGCGACGCCGCGUGGGGGAUGACGGCCUUCGGGUUGUAAACUCCUUUCGCUAGGGACGAAGCGCAAGUGACGGUACCUGGAGAAGAAGCACCGGCUAACUACGUG